GGACACUUUUUCCAUUAUUUGAC
rnacentral:snRNA from 1 species